rnacentral:rRNA from 1 species
AGUAAUACAUAAGUAACCUGCCCUAGACAGGGGGAGUAACUAUUGGAAACGAUAGCUAAGACCGCAUAGGUACGGACACUGCAUGGUGACCGUAUUAAAAGUGCCUCAAAGCACUGGUAGAGGAUGGACUUAUGGCGCAUUAGCUGGUUGGCGGGGUAACGGCCCACCAAGGCGACGAUGCGUAGCCGACCUGAGAGGGUGACCGGCCACACUGGGACUGAGACACGGUCCAG